rnacentral:rRNA from 1 species
UACGAAGGGGGCUAGCGUUGUUCGGAAUUACUGGGCGUAAAGCGCGCGUAGGCUGUUCGGUAAGUUAGAGGUGAAAGCCCGGAGCUCAACUCCGGAAUUGCCUUUAAGACUGUCGGACUGGAGGCCGAGAGAGGUGAGUGGAAUUCCCAGUGUAGAGGUGAAAUUCGUAGAUAUUGGGAAGAACACCAGUGGCGAAGGCGGCUCACUGGCUCGGUUCUGACGCUGAGGCGCGAAAGCGUGGGGAGCAAACAGG